rnacentral:lncRNA from 1 species
CCUUUUGGCUUGGCGGCGAUAAAACUGAUGCACUGCACUUGACGAACGUUGUCGAAUCCAAUGAUACGGACAAAGGAGUUAGGGUAAGCUUUCUUCGCCUCCUCGAGCUCGAUCAGCACCUGAGAUGCCAUAGUGCAUCCAAACAUGGGUAGCUUCCACAUAGUCCAGUAGCGUCCAUCAUAGUACCCUGGGGAUCUGUGGUGCUCGCGGUAGACCCAACCUUUCUGCACAAUCAAACAUUUACAAGUUAGUGUCUCUAAAACAAUUAAUCACAAACCUUAUAUGUGACUAUAUUGAGGAACUAAGAAUCUGCUUAAAUGCUUAAUUAAGUUACCUGUAAUUAUAAUGUGUUCAAUGUAAAAGUACAGGCACACUUAAUUUAGUAUGCUCCAAGUAUUUUUUCAUCAGAAAUAUGUUGAAAAUCUUUUUUAUAUAUAUUUUAAAUUUAUUUUUAAUUUCCGCACACCAAAAGAAAACACCAAACAUGCUAUAUAUGGUUAAUUAUCACCUUGCAAUAAUAAUAAUAAUUAGUGAAAAUUGUAAGAUUAUGAGAUUGGACUUAUCACCUCCAACUCGAAUUCCAAGCAAGGAACCCACUUAUUGCGAAGAAGGUACUCAAUUUCCUUGGCCAAUUGCUCAGUAGUGAGUUCUGGGAGGUAAGAAAGGGUCUCGAACUUCUUCAAUCCUGUUGGAGGCCACACCUAUACGCAUUUUUAAAAGCAAAAAAGAAAAAAGAAGUGAGAACAGAAAGCUAAUUAAUUCCAAGUAAGUAGAAUAAAACUAAUUAACAACGUUGUACCAAAGUUGUUUAAAAGGUUUUACCUGCAUGCAUUGAACUCUUCCGCCAUUGCUUGCAAUGGAAGUAAUGUCACUGUUAGCCUUUCUGGUGACCGGGAAAGCUGAGGUAGACUUGAGGCCGUUGAAUGGUGCAACCAUGUUGGCCUGUGCCGGGGUGCGGUUAACUGUGGCCACGGCGGCCGAUGAAAUCACAGAGGAAGCCAUCUCUUACAAGCUAAUUAGCUAUUACACCCUCUAUAUGUGGUUUG